UACGGAGGGUGCAAGCGUUGCUCGGAAUUAUUGGGCGUAAAGGGUAGGUAGGUGGUCUCGUUUGUCUGGGGUGAAAGCCUUGAGCUUAACUCAAGAAGUGCCCCCAGAAACGGCGAGACUAGAGUCCUGGAGAGGGUCGUGGAAUUCCCGGUGUAGCGGUGAAAUGCGUAGAGAUCGGGAGGAACACCAGAGGCGAAGGCGGCGACCUGGACAGGUACUGACACUCAACUACGAAAGCGCGGGGAGCAAACAGG
rnacentral:rRNA from 1 species